UACGGGGGGGGCAAGCGUUGUUCGGAAUUACUGGGCGUAAAGGGCUCGUAGGUGGCCAACUAAGUCAGACGUGAAAUCCCUCAGCUUAACUGGGGAACUGCGUCUGAUACUGGAUGGCUUGAGUUUGGGAGAGGGAUGCGGAAUUCCAGGUGUAGCGGUGAAAUGCGUAGAUAUCUGGAGGAACACCGGUGGCGAAGGCGGUUCUCUGGGCCUUACCUGACGCUGAGGAGCGAAAGCGUGGGGAGCGAACAGG
rnacentral:rRNA from 1 species